UGGCAAUGAUGAUAAACUUCGUGGUUGAGUUUCAGUGAUUAUUCUAUACGCUAUUCUGAGUCAACU
ensembl:snoRNA SNORD54 small nucleolar RNA, C/D box 54